UACAACAUGUACUGCUAGAUUCCACAGCUCUUGUUUGCUGGUGAAAGUUAAUUGACAAAAAAUUAGAAUAGCGGACCGCUUGCUUGCAUGGAGGGGUGUUUCUAAUUAAUCACUAAAUAAUUAAAAAUUCUGCUGUACAAUUGUGCAGCAGAUUGCGUUCGCACGUUUGCAUUAGUUUCAGCACACCACCUCUCAGCGACGUACACAAAAGCGACGUGCGCCUACAUGGUCUUGCCAAUUUUGCUUCACUGAGCCUCGUCGCGAUGAGUCGAGGAAACAGCUAGUGUUUACAGCACAGCGAAUACUCCCCCGCGAAAAAAAAGAAAAACGCGAACAACCAGCCGUCAGAUCGCGGUGCCCGGUCAGCUUACGAACAACCAUAUUUGUUUGGCACUGAAGUUUCCUCAGUGUCGUAUUUUCUGUUGAAGUGCGCAUAAAGUAAAUGUUAAACUUUUAAUCUAAAUUGUUAACUUAAUAUCGCAUAUAAAAGGCUGUAAUAUUUAUUGACAUCAAAGAGCAGUAUCGCAGAGAAGGGAACGCGGCGGGUGGGAAGGAUAUAAAACUGCGACCAUAGUCAGCGGUAGUUGCGCACAGCACGUGUGCAAUGGCGGCCGCCAUGUCAAGGCGAGGCGUCACGCGAGGCGUGCGUGCGUGUUAGUGAAUUAACGAUGUGUUUUUAAGGAACCCGUGGUGUUAGCGCCUGCGCAAUCUCAUUCGUGGAGUAGUAUAUUUGGAUAGUUUUAUCUAUGGCUGCUGUUGUGACUUCAAAACACCCCAAGGCAACUGUUUUACCCCUGUCCUUCGCGGCUUUGUGGAUCUAUCAGCGUGCAUCGAUGUGCAGUGUUCUCCCCGGCGCCGAUUUACCAUUUCGAGGUUUUUUUAACCACUUCCUCAAAAGGACGCCCUUUGGUCGAAGUCAACGAAAAGCUCUCAAUCAAGAUUGCUGACCUGACGAAGAUCUCGAAGGAGGAGUCUGUAAAAAUACAUGCUGUGCUAAUAAAUGCUUUUAGCAACUUUA